AUGCCCACUGGCGACGUGAAGCCGCUGCCCUCACCCUGUGCCUCCCUAGGGCUCCUGUCUCUGGCCAAGGGAACGGCCGCGGGGAGCCGAGCGAGGCAGGCGCCGGCAGGAGGGAUGGAGCAGCGAGCACCCAGCAGCUGGCGGAGCUGCAGAAUUUUUGUUGAGACAACUUACAGCUGAUACUACCUACUGAGCUGAGCCAACAGAGCAGUGUCAACAUAUAAUACUUUCCUUGGUGAGAGAUCUUGGUUCAUGUGUAUCUCAUAACUGAGGAAACAGGAUUGCACUUUAACAACAGCAAUGCCAGCCCAUCUCAAGUGCUUCUUCUCUUUUCCCCAAAAAGAUAGUUAUUACCAUCUAAGACGGUCGAACACGGGAUUUUUCCUUCUAAAGACUCUCUCUAGCUAAGUGGAAAAGGAACAGGGGAUAUUAAAAUUAAAGCCUUACUUAAUACUUUACAUUUCAAAGGCUUGAAGUGUUUUUCUUUCCCCCUCCCCAGAAUCUUUAAUAAAGGGUUUUAAAGCUUUGUAGUAAUGUGUUUGCCAAGGCACCGUGCAGGCUGCGGUCUCUGUAUACCAAACCCCAAACUUUGUUUAAAAAACAGGCCUCACAUAGGCCUCCUCCACAACUGAGUGAUUUCACCUUAGGGGCCAAACUCUCAACCACCAGACAUAUAUUGAAGCACGGCUCUACUUUGAAAAGUGAUGACUAAAAAUUGAAUCUUUCAAUGUCUAUUCAGAGUCAUAGCUAAUGACUUCAUCAAUUAAAAUAAGCUUUUGCUACUUUUAUUCCUGCACCGGAGACCAGGUAUAUCUGUGAGAGAGAGCAACUCUAUUCUGGAUCUCACAUCAUUAACAGAAUUGCUGUCCGUAUGAUGUAUUACUUUGAACACCCCAACGUGUGCUAGGAAUUUUACACACACUGGUAAAAGUGCGGUCCCUGCCCCAAAGAUCUUACAAUCCGACGUAUAAUAAAAAGCUUACCAUCUUGUUAACUA